UACGUAGGGGGCGAGCGUUGUCCGGAGUUACUGGGCGUAAAGCGCACGCAGGCGGUCUGCUAAGUUUGGAGUGACAGUUGGUGGCUUAACUGCCAAAGUGCUUCGAAAACUGACAGACUUGAGGGCUUCAGAGGGACACGGAAUUCUUGGUGUAGCAGUGAAAUGCGUAGAUAUCAAGAGGAACACCAGUGGCGAAGGCGAGUCCCUGGACAACUUCUGACGCUGAGGCACGAAAGCUAGGGGAGCAAACAGG
rnacentral:rRNA from 1 species